ensembl:misc_RNA Metazoa_SRP Metazoan signal recognition particle RNA
GCUGGACAUGGUGCUGCAUGUCUGUAGUCUCAGCUUCUCAGGUGGCUGAGGUGGGAGGAUCACUCGAGCCCAGGAGGUUGAGGCUGUAGUGAGCUGAGUUCACACCACUGCAUUCCAGCCUGGGCUACAGAGUGAGAUCCUGUCUCAA